rnacentral:rRNA from 1 species
UACGUAGGGGGCAAGCGUUGUCCGGAAUCAUUGGGCGUAAAGAGCGCGUAGGCGGUCCGGUAAGUCCGCUGUGAAAGUCAAGGGCUCAACCCUUGAAUGCCGGUGGAUACUGUCGGGCUAGAGUCCGGAAGAGGCGAGUGGAAUUCCAGGUGUAGCGGUGAAAUGCGUAGAUAUCUGGAGGAAUACCGGUGGCGAAGGCGGCAUCCUGGACCGAGAUUGACGCUGAUGAGCGAAAGCUAGGGGAGCAAACGGG